rnacentral:lncRNA from 1 species
CCUAUCCUAUAUCAGCACCUAUUCUGAUUUUUCGGUCACCCGGAAGUCUAUAUCCUCAUCUUACCAGGCUUCGGAAUAAUCUCCCACAUCCGGAAAAAAAGAACCAUUUGGGUACAUGGGCAUGGUCUGGGCUAUAAUAUCAGUUGGCUUCCUGGGAUUCAUUGUGUGAGCUCACCAUAUGUUCACAGUGGGAAUAGACAUAGAUACACGAGCUUACUUCACCUCUGCCACUAUAUAUAUA